UUGAACGCUGGCGGCAGGCCUAACACCUGCAAGUCGAGCGGAUGAAGGGAGCUUGCUCCUGGAUUCAGCGGCGGACGGGUGAGUAAUGCCUAGGAAUCUGCCUGGUAGUGGGGGAUAACGUCCGGAAACGGGCGCUAAUACCGCAUACGUCCUGAGGGAGAAAGUGGGGGAUCUUCGGACCUCACGCUAUCAGAUGAGCCUAGGUCGGAUUAGCUAGUUGGUGGGGUAAAGGCCUACCAAGGCGACGAUCCGUAACUGGUCUGAGAGGAUGAUCAGUCACACUGGAACUGAGGCACGGUCCAGACUCCUACGGGAGGCAGCAGUGGGGAAUAUUGGACAAUGGGCGAAAGCCUGAUCCAGCCAUGCCGCGUGUGUGAAGAAGGUCUUCGGAUUGUAAAGCACUUUAAGUUGGGAGGAAGGGCAGUAAGUUAAUACCUUGCUGUUUUGACGUUACCAACAGAAUAAGCACCGGCUAACUUCGUG
rnacentral:rRNA from 1 species